rnacentral:rRNA from 1 species
AAUAUUGUAUUUCUUUAUGAAUUUUAAAAAGCAGCCAACACAAAACAUUAGAUUUUUUCUUGGGUCAUCUGCUGCUCCAAAAUAAAAAAUAUAUUUAUCUCUACAUUUUUGGGGAACAUUAUAUUUAUUUAAUACAUAUUUUAAUUUUUCUUCAUUUUUAAUUGGAUAAAAUUUUUGAGCUGUAGAAUUAUACGUUACAAUCAUUUUAUCAGGAUUUAAUUUAUCAAAAAAUCUAAUGAAACCGUCUUUGCAAUUUUGCGAAACACAAAAACAAUUUAUGUCUGAUGAUAAGUUGUUAUGGAAUUUCCAGAAAUCUAUUUUAUGCUUUACAGGAAACCAAUUGUCUUUUAGCAUUGGUAUUACAUCAUGCAAUACAUUGAAAAUCAUUGGGCGUAAAGAGUUCGUAGGUGGUUUGUUAAGUUUGGUGUUAAAUGCAGAGGCUCAACUUCUGUUCGGCAUCGGAUACUGGCAGACUAGAAUGCGGUAGAGGUAAAGGGAAUUCCUGGUGUAGCGGUGAAAUGCGUAGAUAUCAGGAGGAACAUCGGUGGCGUAAGCGCUUUACUGGGCCGUAAUUGACACUGAGGAACGAAAGCCAGGGUAGCAAAUGGGAUUAGAUACCCCAGUAGUCCUGGCCGUAAACGAUGGAUACUAGGUGUUGCGGGUAUCGACCCCUGCAGUGCCGUAGCAAACGCGUUAAGUAUCCCGCCUGGGGAGUACGCACGCAAGUGUGAAACUCAAAGGAAUUGACGGGGACCCGCACAAGCGGUGGAACAUGUGGUUUAAUUCGAAGCAACGCGAAGAACCUUACCAGGGCUUGACAUCUAACAAACCUUUGUGAAAGCAGAGGGUGCUCUUCGGAGAAUGUUAAGACAGGUGGUGCACGGUUGUCGUCAGCUCGUGUCGUGAGAUGUUGGGUUAAGUCCCGCAACGAGCGCAA